GAUAAUUUUAUUUUUUUCAUUCUUUAGUCAAUAUCCUAACAUAUUCCGACAAUCCCUGCUUAUCCGUCCGUCUACGAUGAUCCUGGAUAGCGGUGACGGGAGGUUUUCUUCGUCCGCUCUCGCCUCAGUCGACAGUCAUACACAUCCUGGGGAGCAUAUCCCAGGAUAAACAAACCUGUCGUAUGCGGAUAAAUAGCUAUUCCGACGAUCUUUCACUGCGGCCGGCAGUCGGACCAAGAUUAAUUGGAAACGGUCACGCGAAUAAAUUUAACCGGAAUAGCGAUACAAAUGAAGUCUUGAUCCCUCGGCACCUGAGACGUUCUUCAAACCAGGCGAGAAAUGGCGACAAGCAUUUCCAUGACCUCCUCUUCCUUGAUAACUCCGCCCAAUUCCAAUUCGCGGCGCCAUCGUAGGUGAUCAAGCCAAAUCGAUUUCGAAAACUUUUGUUUUGUUUCUCCAGAUCCUGGAGUUCUGUUGAAUUUUUAGGGGACUUGGAUCUCCUUCUUUGAUUCUUUUGGUCCAGACCUUUUAGAACUGCCAUGGCGAGCUUGGAUCAGAGAACUUAUUCUCCAGGUGUCCGGAUUUCGGAAGGAAACGGCGGGCUUCCCAAGGUCUCUUUGAGCUCCCAUCAUGGCAGGUCAAUCGAGUUCUUUGUCCUCCAUUUUCUGUUGUUGAUAUUGUUCAUGAUCUCUUUAUUUCUUGGUUUUACAUUGUUUACCAAUCUGCCUCUUUUUGUAGAAAAAAGGGGAUACAGGAUCCUGCAAAAUUGUUAAUGUGAAGAUAUGUGGUGCUGUAUGCUCUGUUUAUAUGCUGUUUUUGAGUGUUGUGUUAUCUUAAUAUCCUGGUUUGACUUUGGAAUCCCUUUAUUCUAACCAAAAAAAAAUUAGUUAGCACUAAUGUGUUAUGGAUGGUUGGAUAAAAGUAGUGUAAAAUN
rnacentral:lncRNA from 1 species